rnacentral:rRNA from 1 species
AAUGGGUCAGCGACUUAUAUUCUGUAGCAAGGUUAACCGAAUAGGGGAGCCGAAGGGAAACCGAGUCUUAACUGGGCGUUAAGUUGCAGGGUAUAGACCCGAAACCCGGUGAUCUAGCCAUGGGCAGGUUGAAGGUUGGGUAACACUAACUGGAGGACCGAACCGACUAAUGUUGAAAAAUUAGCGGAUGACUUGUGGCUGGGGGUGAAAGGCCAAUCAAACCGGGAGAUAGCUGGUUCUCCCCGAAAGCUAUUUAGGUAGCGCCUCGUGAAUUCAUCUCCGGGGGUAGAGCACUGUUUCGGCAAGGGGGUCAUCCCGACUUACCAACCCGAUGCAAACUGCGAAUACCGGAGAAUGUUAUCACGGGAGACACACGGCGGGUGCUAACGUCCGUCGUGAAGAGGGAAACAACCCAGACCGCCAGCUAAGGUCCCAAAGUCAUGGUUAAGUGGGAAACGAUGUGGGAAGGCCCAGACAGCCAGGAUGUUGGCUUAGAAGCAGCCAUCAUUUAAAGAAAGCGUAAUAGCUCACUGGUCGAGUCGGCCUGCGCGGAAGAUGUAACGGGGCUAAACCAUGCACCGAAGCUGCGGCAGCGACACUAUGUGUUGUUGGGUAGGGGAGCGUUCUGUAAGCCUGUGAAGGUGUACUGUGAGGUAUGCUGGAGGUAUCAGAAGUGCGAAUGCUGACAUAAGUAACGAUAAAGCGGGUGAAAAGCCCGCUCGCCGGAAGACCAAGGGUUCCUGUCCAACGUUAAUCGGGGCAGGGUGAGUCGACCCCUAAGGCGAGGCCGAAAGGCGUAGUCGAUGGGAAACAGGUUAAUAUUCCUGUACUUGGUGUUACUGCGAAGGGGGGACGGAGAAGGCUAUGUUGGCCGGGCGACGGUUGUCCCGGUUUAAGCGUGUAGGCUGGUUUUCCAGGCAAAUCCGGAAAAUCAAGGCUGAGGCGUGAUGACGAGGCACUACGGUGCUGAAGCAACAAAUGCCCUGCUUCCAGGAAAAGCCUCUAAGCAUCAGGUAACAUCAAAUCGUACCCCAAACCGACACAGGUGGUCAGGUAGAGAAUACCAAGGCGCUUGAGAGAACUCGGGUGAAGGAACUAGGCAAAAUGGUGCCGUAACUUCGGGAGAAGGCA